UUAGAAUUUCCCUCUCUCUCUUCAGCCACGCACAGACCCCCCUAAACCCUUUUCGUCGCUGCUGUGAACAUUCAAGCGAGAAAAGUCGCCACCUCGUCUCGUCGCCGUCGUCGAAGCCAACGUCGCCAUCCUCUAGCCACACUGCGCCUGACGCCAUCUCGUCUGGGUCUUCGCCGAACGCAGACAACCCCUCGGCGUCCAUCAAUCGGAGCCCACGCGCGCCUCUCCCCUCGCCAGCAGUUCGCGCUGCCACUCGACACCUGUCGUCGCUUGCUGUCGUGGAUUGGUGUGUUAUGCCAGAAUUUUGGAGUUACAGUGCAACCAGAGUUUGGAUUGAAGAUUGGGCCAUUCCAAGUUGUCCAGCGUUACAAGGAUUGAUUUUUUGGAGGAUUUUUGGUAAGAGCAAGGAUACUCGGGCGACUGACAAGAGGAAUCCGUGACAGUACCAAAGAAACUAAAAACGCUUCCGCAUUUGAACCUUUAUGUCUUCUUAUGUUUUUAUCUUUUUUCUAUUUUUUAUUUAUUUGUUUAUUACAUGUUAAGGGCUACCCCAGAUCAAACGAUUUGAAAUCUUGAGCUAAAGUCAAAAUAGUUUCUUUAUACACUUAAGCAGUCCAAAAUCCUAUUAUUUUAUGUUUCCCUCAAUGUGAACAUUUAUGCAUGC